AGAGUUUGAUCCUGGCUCAGAACGAACGCUGGCGGCAGGCUUAACACAUGCAAGUCGGAGGUGAAGCAGGGCUUCGGCCCUGUGGAAACUGGCGCACGGGUGAGUAACGCGUGGGAAUCUACCCUGGGGUGGGGAAUAACCGCUGGAAACGGCGGUUAAUACCGCAUACGCCUUGAGAGGGAAAGCUUUAUGCGCCCUGGGAUGAGCCCGCGUCGGAUUAGCUUGUUGGUGAGGUAACGGCUCACCAAGGCUUCGAUCCGUAGCUGGUCUGAGAGGAUGAUCAGCCACACUGGGACUGAGACACGGCCCAGACUCCUACGGGAGGCAGCAGUGGGGAAUAUUGGACAAUGGGGGAAACCCUGAUCCAGCCAUGCCGCGUGCGUGAAGAAGGCCUUAGGGUUGUAAAGCGCUUUCGGCGGGGAAGAUGAUGACGGUACCCGCAGAAGAAGCCCCGGCUAACUCCGUGCCAGCAGCCGCGGUAAUACGGAGGGGGCAAGCGUUGUUCGGAAUUACUGGGCGUAAAGGGCGCGUAGGCGGACGAUUAAGUUAGAGGUGAAAGCCCUGGGCUCAACCUGGGAACUGCCUUUGAAACUGAUAGUCUAGAGUCCGAGAGAGGAUGGCGGAAUUCCCAGUGUAGAGGUGAAAUUCGUAGAUAUUGGGAAGAACACCAGUGGCGAAGGCGGCCAUCUGGCUCGGUAC
rnacentral:rRNA from 1 species